AUUCCAGAAGGAGAAUGGCGAGUACCAGGUGGACUACUCACGCUUCCAUAACACUGUUCCAGUGGAUACUCCCACCUGUUCAGCUAAAGAGCUAGCAGAGAUGGGUGAUGAGGAUGAAGAAGACACGGGUUAUAAUGGCUAUAUGGAUGGAGAUGACAGCUCUUCUACCAGUGAAGCCACUAUAAGUUCCAGAACCAGCCAUACACCUUUACCAAGUCCGUAUAUUCUUAAGAAAAAUGGUUGUGUGCAAACCACUGAUCAUGACUUUGCUGAUGACUUGGAGCCUAUAGCCAGGAUGGGUUCUAUAAGAAGCUCUGGAGGCAAUGAUGAACCAGCUUUUUAUUGAACAGCAAUAGGUAUUUUACCAUAGUUGUUUAUUUGAGGCACAACAGUUGAGACUGCCGUUUUAGGACACAUCACAUAAACAGUUUGACAGGACAGGAGGGAGUUAGGUGUAUCCCAGUAAACAUUGCAAGCUGUACCAUAGUAAGACGGGAGCUUGAUUUGAACUUGAGGCCACAGAGGUCAAGACCCACUGGCAGCCAGCCCUCUGCAUAGUGUCAUUGGUACAUUCUUGAUAAUGUCCAUGAACAAGAUUCUUCCUACUGGCCACCUUUCUCCUUAAAGGUGCAUUUCAGGUAACCAACUCUUUGGUGUUCAGGAGUACACUGCAAUAGGAAGUUCAACUGAAACCCCUGCUAGAUUUGUGUCUCUUUACAGAUUUACUGACCAUAUUACUUGCAUAGGCUUCUUUAUGAAACCAUUCAUAAAGAACUGUUAUUUAUAGAACUUGUUGUUUCAGAUCCACACCAUUUUUAAACAGAAAGCAGUGCAUUGAUUGUUUGUCGGUCAGUAGUGAUUCACAGAACAUUAAUAGCAAUUGAUUUAUAGUUGUGUAACUGAAGUGGUCUGAUGACCUUUUAUAAAUUGAUUUACAUUAACAGCAUCAUGAUAUUAAAUUUUUGCUCACAGCUACUUGUUUUGGUUUACAGUAAACUAGACUGUGCAUCUAAUAAAAGAUCAAUAGUUCCAAGGGUACCGUCAGAUACUGAAAUAAAUAUGUUGAUUUGUAAACUGGUAUUACUCAUAGGAUAAGACAAAAUGUGGUCAGAGAGAUGUAUAUGCCAGGGAAUAAAAAAUGCUGAGAAGUGAAUUCAUCAUGAAAAGAUGCACUGCAAAAUUAUGGGCACAUAUCUUCUUUUUGUUGUAUUUUUGAGAUCAAAGUAAAAUUCAGAUUUGCUGGGCUAUUAAAGUAACAGGUUUGCACAUAACAUGAAAUAACAACAUUUAUUGUGUGAUUAAAAGUGUGGAAAUAUUCUUAAUUUUAUAAAUAUUCUGGUAAUCGUAUGUAUUAGAUGUGAUGUGGUAUAUAUUGUUUUAAAGGUAAAGAAUUAUCUUUAAUUGUAUAUUUUAGUGCUUUACAGCAUAUUGCACAGCGUAUAUGGUAAUGGGAAAUUGUGACACUUAGCAUUUGCCACAGUAUCAGAUGAACAAAAUUCCAGUGAAUGCUGAUAUUUAAAGCACUGGAUUGUAAAUUUUGCAGUGAACAACUUUACUUUAAUUUGCUCUGAAUGGAUUUUUUCAGUGCCUUGAAUUGUAUGUGCCUAAAAUGAAAAGAAGCCCAAAUGUGUGUGUAAGUUUAUUUAGUGCAUGUGAAAUGUUUAACACUGUUUUUGUGUUAUUUACAUGUUAGCAUAAUUUUGGGAUUCAAUUUUGAAAGGCAGGGAACAUGAUGAGAAUUUACCUCUUCCAAAAUCCUGUAAUUAAUCGUAAAUACUAAUGAUGAAUAGAUGUGCUUAUAGGACUGUUUGUUGAAAUUGUGUUUUGUGAUUUUAUAGUAAUUUUAAAGUGAGUUUCUCUGUCAUAAGUAUCUCUUAGUAGGAAUGAUUAAGAAUCAACAUACUAUAGAUGUAAAACUUAAAGUCAAAUAAAUGCUAAAUAGGAUUAGUAUAACAAUCAUGUAUGAGCACUGUAAGCUAACAUUGUGAAGAUACAUAUAAGUCAACUAAUGUAAAAACAGCAUAUACAUUGUAAAAAUAUAUUGUAUAAUAUAGGGAUUUUUUAUUAUGAUCAUAGGUAGUCAUUAUUAGCUUUAUACACAUCCUUUUAUAAUACAACAGAUUUAAACUCACAAAUAAAUAAAUAAUGGUGCUGCCA
rnacentral:lncRNA from 1 species